rnacentral:rRNA from 1 species
AUUGAACGCUGCGGCAGGCCUAACACAUGCAAGUCGAGCGGAUGAAGGGAGCUUGCUCCUGGCUUCAGCGGCGGACGGGUGAGUAAUGCCUAGGAAUCUGCCUGGUAGUGGGGGAUAACGUCCGGAAACGGGCGCUAAUACCGCAUACGUCCUGAGGGAGAAAGUGGGGGAUCUUCGGACCUCACGCUAUCAGAUGAGCCUAGGUCGGAUUAGCUAGUUGGUGGGGUAAAGGCCUACCAAGGCGACGAUCCGUAACUGGUCUGAGAGGAUGAUCAGUCACACUGGAACUGAGACACGGUCCAGACUCCUACGGGAGGCAGCAGUGGGGAAUAUUGGACAAUGGGCGAAAGCCUGAUCCAGCCAUGCCGCGUGUGUGAAGAAGGUCUUCGGAUUGUAAAGCACUUUAAGUUGGGAGGAAGGGCAGUAAGUUAAUACCUUGCUGUUUUGACGUUACCAACAGAAUAAGCACCGGCUAACUUCGUG